ensembl:lncRNA
AUGAUUCACCACCGCAGUGUUCACAGCUGGGGAAGCAUUUGUCCCAUUCCUGGUGUAAUUGGUGUGGGCGAGGCUGGGGUCCAAGUGUUGCAGCUGCCUGGAGUUGACUGCCUUGCCUACUUAGCAGUGGCUGUUUUCCAUGGAUAUUUGCAGAAGGUCUGUUCCUUUUUGGAAGAUGGUCUGUACGGAAUGACCAGACACAAGCAGGUGCAUCCAAGAAGGAAGUUUGCCAUGGAAACACAGGAAGUAUCAGAGCCGGGCAACAAGGGAAGCUUUUCUUGUGGUAUCCACACUGGAAGCAGCUCUCUUCCCACCAAAAGCCCUGGAGGUACAUGACACUUCUCUUUGCAAUGGCACAGGAUAUAGAGACUAAUAUCUAUUUAUGACAGCAAGCAGCCAGAGAUGACAGUCUGCAGAGCAUAUUUGGAGAAAGCAACCUCAUGACAAAUGGAGUCAGAGGGGAAUUUGAAUGAAACGUGAACUUUGUAUAAUUACAGAUGGAGAAAUGGCAUUAAAUAAUUGGCAUGAAAAGUCUUGACACAGGACAGUGACCCCUUCAGUCCAGAUGGUGUGAGACACAGACAGAGAGGGACUCAGUAGAGGGCAACAGAAAAGCCAGAUGUGAAAGACAGAGGAAGGACAGCCACAGGGGACCGGAGCAGACACUCCCCUUGGCCACAUCUGGCCAAUUAAAAAUUUUUUCUUAGUUGUGUGGGAUUAUACGGUAUUAUCAGUUCCUUAUUGAAUACCAUUUACAGUUAACUGUAUAUUCAGUUCAGCUUAGGUUCUCGAUAUGUAUAUUGUAUGCAGUUCUUGUUCCACAGUGGGGUUUGAGUUAUUCUCAAAACAUUCUUUGUUUCCUGUUUUUAAAUGAAGUCUGCAGUUAAAGACACCUGCCUGAUAAUGUAUUUUUUUUUUUUGAGACGGAGUUUCGCUCUUGUCACCCAGGCUGGAGUGCAAUGGCGCGAUCUCGGCUCACCGCAACCUCCGCCUCCUGGGUUCAGGCAAUUCUCCUGCCUCAGCCUCCUGAGUAGCUGGGACUACAGGCAUGCGCCACCAUGCCCAGCAAAUUUUUUGUAUUUUUAGUAGAGACGGGGUUUCACCAUGCUGACCAGGAUGGUCUCGAUCUCUUGACCUCGUGAUCCACCUGCCUCGGCCUCCCAAAGUGCUGGGAUUACAGGGUUGAGCCACCGCGCCCGGCUGACAAUGUUACAUAUAUUUGUUUUCAUUGGGAGGAUCUAAGUAAUAAAAUUUGGGUGCCCAGACUGGGCUAAUCAGGGCAAUAGUUACCUCUGAUAGAAAGCAGCUGAGUGAAGCUCAUUCGUACGUGGAGUUACCAUGAUAUUUAUUUAUUUUUGAGACAGAGUCUGACUUGGUGCCCAGGCUGGAAUGCAGUGGCAUGAUCUGGGCUCAUUGCAACCUCUGCCUCCUGGGUUCAAGGGAUUCUCCUGCCUCAGCCUUCUGAGUAGCUGGGGUUACAGGCAUUUGCUGUAACCCCAGCAAAUGGCGUUACACACCUGGCUAUUUUUAUAUUUUUAGUAGAGAUGGGGUUUCACCAUGUUUUCCAGGCUGAUCUCGAACUCCUGACCUCAAGUGAUCCACCCACCUCGGCCUCCCACAGUGUUGGGAUUGCAGGUGUGAGCCACCACACCCAGCCCCAUGAUUUAUAAAAGCAAAAACAAAACCAAAAACAAAAGACAGAACCAAAAAAGAGAUGAGAGAGGCUGACUGGGACAUAAAGUCAGAGAAAAAGGAGGAAGUGCAGACGAGCGUGAGCACGUAAAGCAUAGUGUGCCUAUCAACAGGUGCAGGAGAAUCUGUAAAACGAUGAGCAUAUCUGAGACGAAGGGACUCGUGUAUGCUGUGUUUUUGCUUUUAGGUGAAGAAAGGAAGGCAAGUUAGGAGGAGGAAGAGUGACGGUUGUGUAGAGUCUAUCAUCUCCUGGCUCUAAGGAUCAAUAUGCAAGUCCCGUACAGAGAGAAAUUGCUCUCGAAAGCAGGAAAAUGACUUUUCUAUGUGAUCCAAGUAGAAUGGUGGAGGGGGCAUUACUCCCAAUGAUUGAGUGAAUAUAGUGCCUCUGCAGCAUCCUGAGAGAUUGCUGCUAGAGGCUCGUUAGGAGACAGCUUUGUCUUAGGGGAGCGUCUGUAACUAAGGUAGAGAUGAGGUGCUGCCCUCGGUCACUUCCUGAGCCCAUCCACCAUGAAGGGGUCUGCGUCAGAAGAGGAAGCCUACUGUUAGCAUCAAUAGUGAUUCGUUCGUAAGCACUCAUGGAACACCAUCUGAGAACUUCUAGUUAUAAUUAGAUGAAAGUUCCUAGGGAGUGGCAUAAGAAUGUGGGGACAGGUGUCAGUGAUAUUUUACUUAUUCUAUUAAUAUGUACCUUCUGUGCUGGAUUCUAGAAGCUUAUUAAUAUCCCUGUUGGGAAGGAGGCUUACCAAGAGUAAGCAAUGUGUUUACUUUGCUACCGCAUCUAGACAAGAAGUGGUAGAGCCAGGACUUAAAGCCGUGUUUAUCUGCCUCCAAACUUGUUCAUGGCACCACUAGGCUGUACAAGCUUUCCUGUACUCCCACUUCCAGUACAAUCCCCAAAGCAGUUGUAAUAAGAGGAAUUGUUAAAGAGGUAAGUCUUCAAGUCAUGUGUCAGGUCUUAGACAGUGAAACUUGAGAGAUGAUAUAAAACAGUGGCUCAGGCCGGGGGUGGUGGCUCACACUUGUAAUCCUAGCACUUUGGGAGGCCAAGGUGGGUGGAUUGCUUGAGCUCAGGAGUCUGAGACCAGCCUGGGAAACGUGGUGAAACC